AUUGAACGCUGGCGGCAGGCCUAACACAUGCAAGUCGAGCGGAUGACGGGAGCUUGCUCCUUGAUUCAGCGGCGGACGGGUGAGUAAUGCCUAGGAAUCUGCCUGGUAGUGGGGGACAACGUUUCGAAAGGAACGCUAAUACCGCAUACGUCCUACGGGAGAAAGCAGGGGACCUUCGGGCCUUGCGCUAUCAGAUGAGCCUAGGUCGGAUUAGCUAGUAGGUGAGGUAAUGGCUCACCUAGGCGACGAUCCGGAACUGGGUUGGGAGGAUGAUCAGUCACACUGGAACUGAGACACGGUCCAGACUCCUACGGGAGGCAGCAGUGGGGAAUAUUGGACAAUGGGCGAAAGCCUGAUCCAGCCAUGCCGCGUGUGUGAAGAAGGUCUUCGGAUUGUAAAGCACUUUAAGUUGGGAGGAAGGGCAGUAAGCUAAUACCUUGCUGUUUUGACGUUACCGACAGAAUAAGCACCGGCUAACUCUGUGCCAGCCGCCGCCGUAAGAC
rnacentral:rRNA from 1 species